rnacentral:rRNA from 1 species
AUUGAACGCUGGCGGCAUGCCUUACACAUGCAAGUCGAACGGUAACAGGCCGCAAGGUGCUGACGAGUGGCGAACGGGUGAGUAAUGCAUCGGAACGUGCCCAGUCGUGGGGAUAACUACUCGAAAGAGUAGCUAAUACCGCAUACGAUCUAUGGGUGAAAGCGGGGGACCGUAAGGCCUCGCGCGAUUGGAGCGGCCGAUGUCAGAUUAGGUAGUUGGUGGGGUAAAGGCUCACCAAGCUAACGAUCUGUAGCUGGUCUGAGAGGACGACCAGCCACACUGGGACUGAGACACGGCCCAGACUCCUACGGGAGGCAGCAGUGGGGAAUUUUGGACAAUGGGCGCAAGCCUGAUCCAGCAAUGCCGCGUGCAGGAAGAAGGCCUUCGGGUUGUAAACUGCUUUUGUACGGAACGAAACGGCUCUGGUUAAUACCCGGGGCUAAUGACGGUACCGUAAGAAUAAGCACCGGCUAACUACGU